CCUACGGGCGGCUGCAGUGAGGAAUAUUGGUCAAUGGGCGCGAGCCUGAACCAGCCAAGUCGCGUGAGGGAUGAAGGUUCUAUGGAUCGUAAACCUCUUUUAUAAGGGAAUAAAGUGUGGGACGUGUCCUAUUUUGUAUGUACCUUAUGAAUAAGGAUCGGCUAACUCCGUGCCAGCAGCCGCGGUAAUACGGAGGAUCCGAGCGUUAUCCGGAUUUAUUGGGUUUAAAGGGUGCGUAGGCGGCCUUUUAAGUCAGCGGGGAAAUUCUGUGGCUCAACCAUAGAACUGCCGUUGAAACUGGUGGGCUUGAGUAUGUGUGAGGCAGGCGGAAUGCGUGGUGUAGCGGUGAAAUGCGUAGAUAUCACGCAGAACCCUGAUUGCGAAGGCAGCCUGCCAGGCCAUAACUGACGCUGAUGCACGAAAGCGUGGGGAUCAAACAGGAUUAGAUACCCCAGUAGUC
rnacentral:rRNA from 1 species